AGAGGUAUAUCCAGAUUCGUAGUAUUAGGAUGUGUCACAU
rnacentral:miRNA from 1 species